AGUAAGACGUAAGGAACCUGCCCCUAUGCCUGGGAUAACUCUGGGAAACGAGAGCUAAUACCGGAUAGGUGAACGGAAGACAUCUUCGGUUCAUGAAAGAUGGGGAACAUCACAGAGGGAUGGCCUUACGGCGCAUUAGCUAGUUGGAGAGGUAGAGGCUCACCAAGGCGAUGAUGCGUAGCCGGCCUGAGAGGGUGAACGGCCACAUUGGGACUGAGACACGGCCCAGACUCCUACGGGAGGCAGCAG
rnacentral:rRNA from 1 species